GGUUAGUGCACCUCUCUCUCUAGCGCUCUCCUUACGUUUCGAUUUUCUGUUUGUUUCGCUUGGAAAUGUGGGUGAUGAAAAGGAAAAAAAAUUGCAACCUGUCAAGUUUUACCUAGCGUGUGCGCUAUAAUUCAAUGAUUUGUUGGUUGAAUGUGAUUUUCUCUUAUUUCUCUCUAUCUCGUUCUGUUCAGUCACAUCUCGCUUGGAUCUGUGAGAUUUUGAUCAACUAGGGUGGAUGUUCAUAGAAAGAGCUUUGAUUUUUUGCGAUAUGAGAUUUGUUUGGUUAAUGUGGGAAUUAGUAUUAUUUUAUUCUAAUUAUGCUGUUUAAUUAAGGUGCUUCUUAUGCGAAAUGUGUUAAUUAUUUUAAAACUCUCUCUCUCUCUCUCACUCUC
rnacentral:misc_RNA from 1 species